GGAGAGGUGUCCGAGUGGUCGAAGGAGGUAGUCUUGAAAACUAUUGAACCGCAAGGUUCCGUGGGUUCGAAUCCCACCUUCUCCG
rnacentral:tRNA from 1 species